UUGGGUAGUAUAAGUUUUUCUAAAAACCUAAAGAAUUUGGCGGUAUUUUAUUCUGUUCAGGGGAACAUGUUUUUUAAACGAUAAUCCACGAUUAUUUUACUUAUUUUUGAUAAGUUACAUUUUGUAUAUCUCCGUCAUCAGAUUAUUUUAAUAAAAAUAUUUCUUGAUAUAAUAAUAUUUUAUUUAAUUAAUAUGUCAGGUCAAGAUGCAGAUUAUAAAUAAGUUAAAAUGUGUUACAAUAAAAUUGUAUUUAUGGAUUUUUAAAUGUAAUUUUAAAAUUAAAUUGGAUUUGAUAGUAAAUUAAUUAAAUAUUAUUUGGUUUUGAAGAGGUUUUAAAAUAAGCA
rnacentral:rRNA from 1 species